rnacentral:lncRNA from 1 species
UUUUUUUUUUUUUUUUUUAAGGAAAUUAACAAAGAGCAAACCUUGACUUUGACCUAUUCAGAAAAAAGGUGUUUGGGUUUUUUUGUUUUGUUUUUUUUUUACCUUUAAAAAGUUAGUCAAAUUCAAGGCUAAGAGGGCAAAUAUUUCAGGUGGGAAAAUGCUCCUUCCUUUGGGGUCUUCCUUCGGCCAUUAAACAAUGGCCUGGAUUUCAAAUGGUAGCACUAGCUUUUUUCAUGUUCACAUGCCCCAGACAAAUGGAGGUUCUCAGCCAUGGUCGGUAGCUGCAAGAGUCCACGGCAGCAUUGCUAUGCUGUAGCCACAACCUGGCUGCAAACUAACAGAUGGUGGGGAAGUUCAGAUCACACCUGCUCCAUCAAGAAGAAAGCAAGGCCUGUCAAACACACCUUGAGCACAACCAUCCUGGGGCCUCCUCUGCCCCUCCCUUCUCCUAUAUACAGUAAGCAAGGUCCUCUAGGUUCGAAGAUGGGGCGCCCCCCAACUAUGGAAGGCAGAUCAAUGGUAUCACCUUCCACAGACAUACAAGUGCUAAAACCUUAGCGACUUAAAAAUAAUAUUUCUUCUCACUUUCUCAUAGGAAGCAUCUCUGACGAAAAGACAGCUGAAUAGACAGAUGAGCAAUCUAGCAUGUGCCAUCGUGGGCCCGCAGAACUAGGAGGGUCAUGUGGCCCAGUGGAUGCCAGUUGUCCUGACAUAACUGUUAAGAGCACUACCUUUCACUCUCAAAAGUGUCCCUGAUAAAUGAUAUGGUCACCUGCGGGAACGCCAGCAGGAAAGGUCUCAGACAUUUAUCUUUCCCACCAAUCUUAUCUUGCACAAGUGAGACUGGGAUCCAGGGAGGGCCUGCCCAUGUUUACUCUCCUGGAUUAAGUGUCCCUGCAGCCCUUCCCAUUCCUUCCUGUGGGGGGAGGGUUCGCCCACACAUCCUGUGCACCAGGCCCAUGCUGAUGCCCUUGCCUCUAUCCCCAACUCUCCUUUCCAUGAGAAAAUGAGAGUUUCAAUUAUUCAGGGCAGGGCUACCCCAAGCUCUGCAUGUGCCCACACACCACAGUGAUCGUGGUAGAGACCAUUCCUCCCUGGACAAGAAGAAGGAGCCAGAUAAUUCUUUAGGUUUCUCCUCCUCUCACAGCCUGGGAUUCAUAAAAGACUGGCCGAAGCUUUUGAUCUGUCAAAUACUCAGGGACCAAUUUACCACAGUGGCUGUCCAUCCAUUUCUUCGAGAAUAUUAAUAUCUCAUGAUUUUUUUAAAAAACGCACGAGGGUACGUACCUGUCUCACAUGUCAGAGAUACAUAUAUAGCAAUGAUAAAAGCAGCUGGCAACUUAUAUUGUAUUUACAAUAUGCCAGGCACUAUUCUAAGCACAUUACAUAAAUUAGUCCUCAUAACAGUCUUAUACAGUAAGUACCAUGAAUGCCUCCCCAUUUCACAGGUAAGUAAAUCGAGGUACAGAAUGGUGAUGUCACAUAGCAAGAAGGCCAACAAGCUAGAACAGGAACCCAGGCAGUGUGGCUCCAGAAUCUGCCUUUUAGCCACCUACUAUAGUUUUUCCUGAACAUAUACAGAGAUAUGUGUUCAACAUUCCUAACAGAAAUAAUCACCAGGGCAGUCAAAUCUCAGCUGUAAAACACUUGAAGUUCACAGGGGAAGGUGCUAUUUAAAUAUAAGAGGCCAUUUCACCUCGACUUUAUAGCCUCCUUUAUCGAUAUCACUCAACAUCGUAAAACAACAGGUGUGUUGGGGUGCUCUGUAAAAACAGGUGUUUUUGUGUGCCGUAUUUACACUUAUUUAACCCAGUGUGUCUAGGCAUGACUACUAGGUACUUCUUGGUUAUACAGAAUCUUCCAUGAGGGGUUGGCAUGAAAAUAGAGAAUGAGGGCAGAUGAAGAGGUAAUCAGUGGUCCUUCCUCAGGACGUUUUGUGGGCGCCAAGACCACCUGGGUGACUGCCCACCAGAGUCACCUUUCCCAAGUGUCCCCCUUCUCAUUUUUUUUUUUGCCAGUUUUCCAGAAGGACCAGUGAUGUCCCCACUGGCCUUUUUUUCCUUUCCAUCUGCUGCCCAGUGGUGGAACACCCCUGCUUAAAUCUUACUUAUUAACUAUACGUAGAUACGGCACACCGCGAUUACAGUAGAAUUGUUUGGGAGCUCAGUAUCUCACUUCUUCCCACGUACCUUACCCUGGGAAUUGCUUUGUACUUUCGGAUUGCCAUGUGGUGGUGUGUCUUUAAUAACCAUCAAUAAAGAUAGGCCUGGGAAAACACGGACAGCCACAGACUCCUCUGAAUUCACCUGAUUGCAACAGAGUAGAAGUGUCUGCAGGGGAUCCCAGCUGCCCAGAGGUGGUCACCAGGAGUGGUCAAAGUCAACCCACCCCUUUGAUUCAGCAACCAAAGAAAAUCUGGCAAAAUAUGCUGACUCUCUGAGGGUUCCACUGAAUCGCUAAUAAAACAUAUUUCCUUAAGUCAAAGUUCAUUCAUGCAUAUAUUCUCCCAAUAUUCGGGGGUGCCUACCCUGUGAAGGGCGUUAUACUGGAGACCAUAAGGAGCUUUGUAGCUUCUUUAUCAGGGAAGCAAUAGAGGUGAAGAAUGUGGGAAGUAAAGGGGACAUUUUUAUAACAUAAACUGGAGAUGUCACCAUUGCACAGAUGAAUAGCAUUGGAAUAGCAAGCAGGGAUGCAAGCAACUGUCAAAAUAGGUGUGUAAUUCUUCCUUUUACAUAGUAGGUGCCAAAAAUAUUCAUUGAACUGAAUUAAUUCAAGUUAAGUUCAGGCAAUUGAGAAUUGGAUGGUUUUAACCCUGACUCUACUCUCUGACUACCAUCCAUACAGGUUCACUUGAUACAAAGAAAACAAGCGGGGAGCCCACCCCUCGGUCCAGAUGACAGGUGGGUCUAGACACCACAUCUAGGUCUGCCCCGAGUGCAGUCCUGCCCACUUUGUGGACAGGUGAGGAGGGUAUAGAGGUUGAAUAACCACCCAGGACAAGGAGAUCCGAUACUUGAACUUGAGUAUUGGGUCCCUCCGGGACUGUGGGAGCCUAUCGAGAUAAAGACCACCGCUAGAUGUGUGUAUGAUACAUGCAGGGCUUGGCAACCUCCUCCAGGAGCCAGCAAUGCUCUGGGACUUUAUCAAGGGACUUCCCUGGGUCAGGCAAGCCUGCCACACUCGAGCAUGUUACAACAGAGCUCACCCUCCCUGGCUCCUCUCAGAUUUCAGUUAAGGCUGGCCUGUGGAAAUCCAGCCCUGCAAGAGGAGAGGUUUCUUCUCCCUGCCUCACGUAACGUCUCCUGCUGAGUGGGACUGAGGGGACCCAGAACGCACCGCACUGUGUGGGCGGUUGCCCACAGUGGUCAGGGAGCCAGAGGUGAACCCUUGGUCCUUGGUUCUUUCCCUGGUGCUACAAGGAUUCUAUGUGCUUGCCUCCCCCUUGGUCCUGAGCACCCUCACCCCGCCACCUCCUCUCCGCGACCACCACCCUCAGCCUGGCUACAGAACAGGAUGCAGUCUCCCCACUGUCCCUGUUCCCUGCCAUCACCCCCGAACAAUCCUACAAUCCCUUUCAGUCUAUGGGAUUUUAUGUUAUGCCUAUAGCAGUACAGACAGCAUGGAACAAAGCUAGUGAGUAAGGAGAAGGGACGCAGUUUCCAGUAUCCUACAGGGGCCCUCAGUCACAGAGCUGGGCUCCCUUUUUAAGCUCUUUCCAAGAAGCCCCUCAGAGGCCUUGGUUGCUGAACUAAGCAGCUCUAGCCUCAGCCCAGGGGAGACUAUGGUCAUCCCCUUUCCGUGUCUUUUCCAGAACCUGCUCAGUCAUCUUCUUGCUAAGUGGGAUUCCUUCCCCUCACCUCUCCCUCCCUCCUGGCUUCGCUCCACGAGAAAGGACCUUUCCUCCUUGCUCCAAAGAUGCCCUCUGGAUCACUGACAUUCUAUACCAAAUUGACAGUCAUCUCCCUUGUCCCCUCUGUUCCAGUUUCUGGAAAUCUUAUUCUUCCCUGUGGCUGAGAAAGAAAAGUUGGUUCUCUCCUGCCCUCUAAGCUCCCUGCCCUGCCUUUUCUCUCUAGAGGUACUGUUUUCCAGAAAGCUCAUCUAUUCUAUAUCCUAUGCCCCCAACAGCCCAUGGUCCAACC